UAGCAAGUACGCUCUAUCGCUGCCCGCAAGGGGAGAGGAAAGUCCGAGCAACACAGAGCGCCGUACGAGUUAACGGCUCGAUGUCCGCAAGGGUGUAGUAGCGUAACAGAAAAUAACCGCCAGGGCGGGGUAGGGGCGGGGAGUAAUCCCCCUCGUACCUUUAUAACGUCAGGGUAAGGGUGAAAAGGCGGGGUAAGAGCCCACCGCGGCGGCAGCAAUGUUCGCUGGCAGUACGUCUUACGGGUUGCAAGACCAUGUAUACCGACAAUUAAGGGUGGCUCGUCCAAUGUCGGGGGGUAGGUUGCUAGAGGCUGUGGGUGACCACAGUCGUAGAUAAAUGAUAGAGGCUCUGCUUCGGCGGAGAACAGAACUCGGCUUAUAGUAUUUGCUAUUCA
rnacentral:RNase_P_RNA from 1 species